ACCCCACCCCCUUCCCUUACGAAGCCCCGCCCCUUUUCCCCGUAGCCCCGCCCCUUUCCCCUAUAAAAGCCCCGUCCCGGCCAACCCCGGCACACGGCGGCCAUGGCCCCCUCCCCCCUCAUGGCUCUGACCCUCCUGACCCUCCUCGCCCUCCCAGGGCUCCGGGCGGCCGUGACCCUGCAGGAGUCCGGGGGGGACCUCCAGCCCCCCGGGGGGUCCCUGCGCCUCCUCUGCCGCCAUUUUGGGGCCAAACCCGGCCGUUUCGGGAUCGCCUGGAUCCGCCAAAAAUUUGGCGGGAAACUGGAGCUUCUGGGGGAGGGGGAGGGGCGGUUCAGGGUGAGGGGGGAGGGGGCG